UAUCUUAGGUAUCAUGACAAUAUAUACCAUUUACUCUAGCGAGACCAGCUGGGCAGACAUCAGUGGUACCUUGCCCUGAUCCAUUUAAUUGCUUCCAAAUGUCCCACCAUGGAAACAGUCAGCAGGCUGGGGGACAAUCCAGAGGAAUGACACUUCAACUAAGGGAAACAAUCACAGAACCAGCUGAUGGAGCAAGAUUCUUGUAUGUGUGUGUGGUAGGAGAGGAGGAUUGAUGUGGAAGGCAGAAGAGAUAACUAAUACUGAGGCCCUUUGUGCCUGGCCAUGCUCUGUACCAGGCACAAGUAUCUUGUUACUUCCGAGAAAAUUAUGCAAGACCGACCAUGAGACUGAAAUUCUCCAGACACUGAAAUAUGUAUAAUAAAAUGCCUUCUCUGGGAGCCACAGAAAAAAGAAAGAUUAUCAUCUGAAUAAUUUGGAGAAUGUAAAUAAACACAAUCCAUAAGCUGA